UAAAAGCGUAAAGUAAUGGUAAUGACAUCAAGUUUUGAUAUAAUUAUGUAAAUUUGUUGAAAAAUGCGAAUGUGAUUACAUUUGGCUGUCCAUUGAAUUUGUGAUGAUUAGGCAGCAAGACAACGUCUACUGGGUGCAUCAAUUAUUAAUAUUAAAGCAAUGUGGAGAUACAAGCAUUAUUAAACUCAUCAAGAAAA